CUCUUUACAUCCAUUGCUCCUUUUCACACAGCUUCACACAGCUUCUUUUUGAUUAUUCCGUGUGAACAACUAUGAACAACUAUGAGCAGGUACAUACAUCUUAUAGGGUUUCAGCUAGUUGUCGGCAUCUGCAUCUGCAUCAGUGGUAUUAGCGGUAUCAACGGUAUCAGCGGUAUCAAAGACAUCAAAUGUUAGCCGCUCUCAGACUUGCUAUAAUGCCGGGUUUCUUUAACGCCGUUCAAGCUUCAAUCUUGCCUCAUGCGAUCUAAAAGAACGCCGUUCCUCCUCCAUUACCGGGUCAACCUCCCCGCCUCCGGAUGCGUGCGUACCUCCGCCCACCUCUACGUCAUCACGCAAACUCCUGAU